rnacentral:rRNA from 1 species
AUUGAACGCUGGCGGCAGGCCUAACACAUGCAAGUCGAACGAGUGGCGGACGGGUGAGUAAUGUCUGGGAAACUGCCCGAUGGAGGGGGAUAACUACUGGAAACGGUAGCUAAUACCGCAUACCAUCGGAUGUGCCCAGAUGGGAUUAGCUAGUAGGUGGGGUAACGGCUCACCAAGGCGACGCUCCCUAGCUGGUCUGAGAGGAUGACGAGCCACACUGGAACUGGGACACGGGCCAGAUGCCUACGGGAGGCAGCAGUGGGGAAUAUUGCACAAUGGGUGCAAGCCUUAUGCAGCCAGGCCGCGUGUAUGAAGAAGGCCUUCGGGUUGUAAAGUACUUUCAGCGAGGAGGCGGUACCCGCAGAAGAAGCACCGGCUAACUCCGUGCCAGCAGCCGCGGUAAUUC